AAACAUCGCCUCUUGUUUAAUCAUAAGAGGUCAAGCCUGCCCAGUGACAUUGUUCAACGGCCGCGGUAUCCUAACCGUGCGAAGGUAGCGUAAUCACUUGUUCUUUAAAUGAGGACUAGUAUGAACGGCUUCACGAGAGCUAUACUGUCUCCUUUACCCAAUCAGUUAAACUAAUCUCCCCGUGAAGAAGCGGGGAUAGACCUAUAAGACGAGAAGACCCUGUGGAGCUUUAAACAUCUUAAACAUUUGUACCCAAGCUAUUAACCUUCCUGUAAAUUCCACUAAACCCAUCAUUCUGUUUUAAGUUUUAGGUUGGGGCGACCACGGAGAACAACCCACCCUCCACGUAGAAAGAACCUUAAUUCUAAGCUAAAAGCUACACCUUUAUGCAUCAAUACAUUGACCUAAAUUGACCCAAUUAUUUUGAUCAACGGACCAAGUUACCCUAGGGAUAACAGCGCAAUCCGCCUUAAGAGCUCCUAUCGACAGGCGGGUUUACGACCUCGAUGUUGGAUCAGGGUGUCCUGGUGGUGCAGCAGCUACCGAUGGUUCGUUUGUUCAACGAUUAAAACCCU
rnacentral:rRNA from 1 species